CCUACGGGAGGCUGCAGUGGGGAAUAUUGGACAAUGGGGGGAACCCUGAUCCAGCCAUGCCGCGUGUGUGAAGAAGGCCCUCGGGUUGUAAAGCACUUUCAGUGAGGAAGAACGCCUGGUGGUUAAUACCCAUCAGGAAAGACAUCACUCACAGAAGAAGCACCGGCUAACUCCGUGCCAGCAGCCGCGGUAAUACGGAGGGUGCGAGCGUUAAUCGGAAUUACUGGGCGUAAAGCGCGCGUAGGUGGCUUGAUAAGCCGGUUGUGAAAGCCCCGGGCUCAACCUGGGAACGGCAUCCGGAACUGUCAAGCUAGAGUGCAGGAGAGGAAGGUAGAAUUCCCGGUGUAGCGGUGAAAUGCGUAGAGAUCGGGAGGAAUACCAGUGGCGAAGGCGGCCUUCUGGACUGACACUGACACUGAGGUGCGAAAGCGUGGGUAGCAAACAGGAUUAGAUACCCUUGUAC
rnacentral:rRNA from 1 species